rnacentral:rRNA from 1 species
UACAGAGGUGCCAAGCGUUAGGCGGAAUCACUGGGCGUAAAGGGCGUGUAGGCGGGACAGUAAGUCGGGCGUGAAAUCCCUGGGCUCAACCCAGGAACUGCACUCGAAACUACUAUUCUUGAGUGUCGGAGAGGAAAGCGGAAUUCCUGGUGUAGAGGUGAAAUUCGUAGAUAUCAGGAGGAACACCAGUGGCGAAGGCGGCUUUCUGGACGAUAACUGACGCUGAGACGCGAAAGCGUGGGGAGCAAACAGG